AUGGCGCACCAUGUCCAGGGUGCGCCAUUAGUAUCAAUUUUUUUUAAACUAGUGCGCCUGUCCAAACAUACUAAUGGCGCAUCCAUAGUAAGUGCGCCAUUACUAGUUGUAACUAGUAAUGGCGCACCAGCCAGAAAUACUAAUGGCGCACUCACACGUGGUGCGCCAUCUACAGCGACCGCUUCAUCCCCAGCCGCACCGGAUCCAACCUCGCGCUCUUCGACCUCGCCCCGGCCCACUCCUCCUCUGCCUCCGGAUCUGCCGCUCCCCCCUCACCCUACUGCGCGCUCCUCCGCGCGGUGCUCUUCGGGCCCGACACGCCCGACCGCCUCGCCUCCUCCGCCGGGGCCUCCUCCUCCUCCGCGGCCUCCCCCGUCGGCUCCCCCGCCGGCGGCAACAUAUUCCGCUUCAAGGCCGAGGUGCCGAGGAACGCCAAGCGGGCGCUCUUCACCGGCGGGGACGACCAGGACCUGCUCUUCCCUGGCAUCUUCACCCCCAAGGGCUCCGGCCCCAGGAAGAUCCCCAGGUAGCCCUACAAGGUGCUGGAUGCGCCCGCAUUGCGGGACGACUUCUACCUCAACCUCGUGGAUUGGUCUUCGCACAAUGUCCUCUCGGUCGGAUUGGGGAAUUGCGUCUACCUGUGGAAUGCAUGUAGAAGCAAGGUCACCAAGCUCUGCGAUUUGGGGUCGGACGACACCGUUUGUUCCGUGA
rnacentral:rRNA from 1 species